GAAUUAGAGAGAAAAGAACAAAACCCGAAUGGCUCCGCGGGAAGAAAAAAGACAUAGGGAGGAGAAGACACAUGGUUCGUCCUUGCUGCUAGGCAGAGGGGAGGGGGCUGAAGCAAAGUGGGUG
ensembl:ncRNA C49F8.13 ncRNA